rnacentral:rRNA from 1 species
AUGAACGCUAGCUACAGGCUUAACACAUGCAAGUCGAGGGGCAGCAUGAACAUAGCUUGCUAUGUUUGAUGGCGACCGGCGCACGGGUGCGUAACACGUAUCCAAUCUGCCCGUCACUCGGGGAUAGCCUUCUGAAAGGAAGAUUAAUACCCGAUGGCAUGCAUUUCCGGCAUCGGAGAUGCAUUAAAGAUUUUAUCGGUGACGGAUGAGGAUGCGUACGAUUAGCUUGUUGGCGGGGUAACGGCCCACCAAGGCAACGAUCGUUAGGGGUUCUGAGAGGAAGGUCCCCCACACUGGAACUGAGACACGGUCCAGACUCCUACGGGAGGCAGCAGUGAGGAAUAUUGGUCAAUGGCCGAGAGGCUGAACCAGCCAUGCCGCGUGAAGGUCACGGCCCUAUGGGUCUUAAACUUCUUUUGUAAGGGAGCAAUAAGGGUCACGUGUGGUCCGAUGAGAGUACCUUACGAAUAAGCAUCGGCUAACUCCGUG